UUGCUCCUGUCCUGUGCGUGAAGAAUAGGUAAUCUUGAGCCAACACUCUUUUUUAGGGAGCCUAACUUUGGGUGCGGAAGAUAUGCCCUUCUUUAGGGAAGGGAAACCUGAAGCAUUCAAGAAGGCACCCACCUGUAAAAAGGGUUCAAAGAUUCUUAUAUCUCACGGCAGGAUGGGAGCAUU
rnacentral:other from 6 species